UACGUAGGGUCCGAGCGUUGUCCGGAAUUACUGGGCGUAAAGAGCUCGUAGGUGGUUUGUCGCGUUGUUCGUGAAAACUCACAGCUCAACUGUGGGCGUGCGGGCGAUACGGGCAGACUGGAGUACUGCAGGGGAGACUGGAAUUCCUGGUGUAGCGGUGGAAUGCGCAGAUAUCAGGAGGAACACCGGUGGCGAAGGCGGGUCUCUGGGACGGUACUGACGCUGAGACGCGAAAGCGUGGGGAGCGAACAGG
rnacentral:rRNA from 1 species